UGCAGUCGAGCGAACAGAUAAGGAGCUUGCUCCUUUGAAGUUAGCGGCGGACGGGUGAGUAACACGUGGGUAACCUACCUAUAAGACUGGAAUAACUUCGGGAAACCGGAGCUAAUGCCGGAUAACAUAUAGAACCGCAUGGUUCUAUAGUGAAAGAUGGUUUUGCUAUCACUUAUAGAUGGACCCGCGCCGUAUUAGCUAGUUGGUAAGGUAAUGGCUUACCAAGGCGACGAUACGUAGCCGACCUGAGAGGGUGAUCGGCCACACUGGAACUGAGACACGGUCCAGACUCCUACGGGAGGCAGCAGUAGGGAAUCUUCCGCAAUGGGCGAAAGCCUGACGGAGCAACGCCGCGUGAGUGAUGAAGGUUUUCGGAUCGUAAAACUCUGUUAUUAGGGAAGAACAAAUGCGUAAGUAACUGUGCGCAUCUUGACGGUACCUAAUCAGAAAGCCACGGCUAACUACGUGCCAGCAGCCGCGGUAAUACGUAGGUGGCAAGCGUUAUCCGGAAUUAUUGGGCGUAAAGCGCGCGUAGGCGGUUUCUUAAGUCUGAUGUGAAAGCCCACGGCUCAACCGUGGAGGGUCAUUGGAAACUGGGAAACUUGAGUGCAGAAGAGGAAAGUGGAAUUCCAUGUGUAGCGGUGAAAUGCGCAGAGAUAUGGAGGAACACCAGUGGCGAAGGCGACUUUCUGGUCUGUAACUGACGCUGAUGUGCGAAAGCGUGGGGAUCAAACAGGAUUAGAUACCCUGGUAGUCCACGCCGUAAACGAUGAGUGCUAAGUGUUAGGGGGUUUCCGCCCCUUAGUGCUGCAGCUAACGCAUUAAGCACUCCGCCUGGGGAGUACGACCGCAAGGUUGAAACUCAAAGGAAUUGACGGGGACCCGCACAAGCGGUGGAGCAUGUGGGUUUAAUUCGAAGCAACGCGAAGAACCUUACCAAAUCUUGACAUCCUUUGAAAACUCUAGAGAUAGAGCCUUCCCCUUCGGGG
rnacentral:rRNA from 1 species